rnacentral:lncRNA from 1 species
UAACAACUCAAUUUAUUGAUUUUUCUUAAGGAUAAUUUAUUGAUUUUUUUAAGGACUAAACUAAGUGUUAACAAGAUCAAUAAACUCGUAUUCAACAAUAUCACCUUGAAUUAAUUAGAUGACCCAAAGUGCUAGGAUUCUCGAUUUCACCAUUUUUUUAUUUAUUUAACCUAGCCUAUAUGUUUUGACAACUUUUCAAGUGUUACUGAUAAGAACCUGUCUAAGAUAGCUGCUAUUUUGCUGAAUGUGGUUGCUUCUCCAAAUAAUUUGCUGGAAUCGGUUUGUCAACAGAGAAUGAUUGGUUGCUGUUACAUUACCUUCUAUGAUCUAUCUGUUGAUGCUGUGCUAUUGCUUUGAUAUUCCCUGCAGAGUUGCUGAUCAAUAGACUGAUUAGGUAUUAGAUGUAGUAACUGGAAUGUAUAGGAAACUGAAAAAGUGGAUUUGAUGAAAUGGAUAUAUGUAUUGAAUUGCAAAUUAUAAAACAACUGUUUAUGAAAUGAAGAAUCAAACAACAGAAAUUGAAUGACAAUUCUAAGGUAUUCAAGAGGCUUGGAGCUCUUCUAAUUGGCUCAACC